GCAAGAUUAAAACUCAAAGGAAUAGACGGGGACCCGCACAAGCGGUGGAGCAUGUGGUUUAAUUCGACGAUACGCGAAGAACCUUACCUGGCCUUGACAUAGAAAGAACUUACUAGAGAUAGUUUGGUGCUAGCUUGCUAGAACUUUCAUACAGGUGCUGCACGGCUGUCGUCAGCUCGUGUCGUGAGAUGUUGGGUUAAGUCCCGCAACGAGCGCAACCCUCGUGUUUAGUUACUAACAGUUCGGCUGAGGACUCUAGACAGACUGCCUGGGUAACCAGGAGGAAGGUGAGGACGACGUCAAGUCAUCAUGGCCCUUACGGCCAGGGCUACACACGUGCUACAAUGGGGUAUACAAAGAGCCGCAAUACCGCGAGGUGGAGCAAAUCUCAUAAAAUAUCUCCCAGUUCGGAUUGAAGUCUGCAACUCGACUUCAUGAAGUUGGAAUCGCUAGUAAUCGUGAAUCAGCAAUGUCACGGUGAAUACGUUCCCGGGUCUUGUACUCACCGCCC
rnacentral:rRNA from 1 species